rnacentral:rRNA from 1 species
ACGGGUGAGUAAUACAUCGGAACAUGUCCUGUAGUGGGGGAUAGCCCGGCGAAAGCCGGAUUAAUACCGCAUACGAUCUAUGGAUGAAAGCGGGGGACCUUCGGGCCUCGCGCUAUAGGGUUGGCCGAUGGCUGAUUAGCUAGUUGGUGGGGUAAAGGCCUACCAAGGCGACGAUCAGUAGCUGGUCUGAGAGGACGACCAGCCACACUGGGACUGAGACACGGCCCAGACUCCUACGGGAGGCAGCAGUGGGGAAUUUUGGACAAUGGGCGAAAGCCUGAUCCAGCAAUGCCGCGUGUGUGAAGAAGGCCUUCGGGUUGUAAAGCACUUUUGUCCGGAAAGAAAUCCUUGGCUCUAAUACAGUCGGGGGAUGACGGUACCGGAAGAAUAAGCACCGGCUAACUACGUGCCAGCAGCCGCGGUAAUACGUAGGGUGCAAGCGUUAAUCGGAAUUACUGGGCGUAAAGCGUGCGCAGGCGGUUUGCUAAGACCGAUGUGAAAUCCCCGGGCUCAACCUGGGAACUGCAUUGGUGACUGGCAGGCUAGAGUAUGGCAGAGGGGGGUAGAAUUCCACGUGUAGCAG